UCCCUGGUAGUAUAUCGGUUAGUACACGCGCCUGUCAUAGUGGAGGGAAGAUGUUUUCACUCUGUCCGCGCGAAAGCUGGGUUCGACUCCCAGCCAGGGAG